GGCGAGUGGCGAACGGGUGAGUAACAUAUCGGAACAAUACCCUAGAGUGGGGGAUAACGUAGCGAAAGUUAGGCUAAUACCGCAUACGAUCUACGGAUGAAAGUGGGGGACCUUCGGGCCUCACGCUAUACGAGCGGCCGAUGUCUGAUUAGCUAGUUGGUGAGGUAAAGGCUCACCAAGGCGACGAUCAGUAGCGGGUCUGAGAGGGAAUGAUCCGCCACACUGGGACUGAGACACGGCCCAGACUCCUACGGGAGGCAGCAGUGGGGAAUUUUGGACAAUGGGCGAAAGCCUGAUCCAGCCAUGCCGCGUGUCUGAAGAAGGCCUUCGGGUUGUAAAGGACUUUUGUCAGGGAGCAAAACUUAGAGGUUAAUAACCUUUGGGGUUGAGAGUACCUGAAGAAUAAGCACCGGCUAACUACGUG
rnacentral:rRNA from 1 species